CAGAUUAGGGUUUCGUUAAAAAGCUCUCCCUCUCUCCUCUCUUUCUUCUUGCUCGAAUUCUUCGAAUCUGGACUAAUUGAUUUCGAUCUCAAUCCUAGCUAUGGCCGAUCGCAGUGUUCUGCAUGAUAUCAAUUUAUAAACUCACAAGGUAAAUCAUAGCAUUUUUCUCUUUCAUCGUCCUCAAUCUUCAUUUGCCUCCAUUUUUAUUUCCAAAACCGUAAUUGUUGAUUCUUAUCAACUCAUUUUAUCAACUCACGAGGUUUCGGAGGUGGUUUCCGUCGGAGAGAUUAAUCUGAUGGUGAUUAGGCUUCCCUCUCUUCGAAAUCGUCGCCGCCGUCACGAAUGAAGGAAAAAAUCUGCAGUUUGACGGAGUUGUGAAUGAAGGAAAUCGAGGGAAGAGUAUAUGGGAUAGUUUCUCCAGACUCCCAGGGAGGAUAUUGGAUUUUAGCGAUGCGGAUGUAGCUGUUGAUCAAUACCAUAGAUUCAAGAUUAGAAGGGAGAGUGCUCAUGGAGAAAGUGUAUGUUGCAACAAUGUCAGAGCGCUCUUUGAUGAGCUCCCAAUGCCACAUAUCAUUGUUGAAUCACACUCUUUCCUGCUGGACCUCUGGACCUCUGGACCUCUUACAGAAUGGGAUUAUGCCAAAGCUGAGAAAGUACAGAAGGUGCUCAGAUAUAACUUUGUAAAUAAUUGGCAACUAACUUUGUAAAUAAUCAAGAGUUUGCAUUUUCAUCUUGAACUUUGUAAAUAUUCAGAACUGGAUCAUAAGACUGUUGACUCUUUAAUAUUUCCAACAUAUAAUUUUAGUUUAU